UAGAGUUUGAUCCUGGCUCACCUUGAACGCUGGCGGCAGGCCUAACACAUGCAAGUCGAGCGGAUGAGAAGAGCUUGCUCUUCGAUUCAGCGGCGGACGGGUGAGUAAUGCCUAGGAAUCUGCCUGGUAGUGGGGGACAACNNNNNNNNAGGAACGCUAAUACCGCAUACGUCCUACGGGAGAAAGCAGGGGACCUUCGGGCCUUGCGCUAUCAGAUGAGCCUAGGUCGGAUUAGCUAGUUGGUGAGGUAAUGGCUCACCAAGGCGACGAUCCGUAACUGGUCUGAGAGGAUGAUCAGUCACACUGGAACUGAGACACGGUCCAGACUCCUACGGGAGGCAGCAGUGGGGAAUAUUGGACAAUGGGCGAAAGCCUGAUCCAGCCAUGCCGCGUGUGUGAAGAAGGUCUUCGGAUUGUAAAGCACUUUAAGUUGGGAGGAAGGGUUGUACGUUAAUACCGUGCAAUUUUGACGUUACCGACAGAAUAAGCACCGGCUAACUCUGUGCCAGCAGCCGCGGUAAUACAGAGGGUGCAAGCGUUAAUCGGAAUUGCUGGGCGUAAAGCGCGCGUAGGUGGUUCGUUAAGUUGGAUGUGAAAUCCCCGGGCUCAACCUGGGAACUGCAUCCAAAACUGGCGAGCUAGAGUAUGGUAGAGGGUGGUGGAAUUUCCUGUGUAGCGGUGAAAUGCGUAGAUAUAGGAAGGAACACCAGUGGCGAAGGCGACCACCUGGACUGAUACUGACACUGAGGUGCGAAAGCGUGGGGAGCAAACA
rnacentral:rRNA from 1 species